UGUAUUGGAAAACAAAUUGUGUGCGCUUGAAAAAAAUGUUUAUUCUGGCUGAGCGCGGUGGGUGUAGUGGUGCGCGCCUGAACUCCCGUUAGAAACCAUGAAGCUGUUGUUGAUCCUCCCAUCUUGGCCUCCCACAGUGCUGGGAUUACAGGCGUGGCCACAGCCCUCGGCCCUGGACCCCAUUGUUUCUAAUGGGAAGUUAUGCCAUUCAAUUGUUCCCUGGACUAUAAUGUGUUAUCUUUCUCUGUCUGCUUUCAAUAUUUUCUCUAUAAGUUCGUUUUCCAGCAGUUUGACUAUGAUGUAAUUGGCUAUGGUUUUCUUUGCAUUGAUUCUUGUUAAGCUUCACUAAGCUGCUUGAAUCUGUAAAUGAAUGCCUUUCACCGAAUUUUAGAAUUUGGGGUAUUUCUUCACAUAUUUUUUUUCUGUCUCAGUUUGUCUUCCCUGUCCUCUUGGAUUUCCACGUGUACACAGGCUAGACCUCUUUCUUUUUCUUUUCUUUUUUUUUUUUU
rnacentral:lncRNA from 1 species